rnacentral:rRNA from 1 species
CGUAGUCCGGAUUGGAGUCUGCAACUCGACUCCAUGAAGUCGGAAUCGCUAGUAAUCGUGGAUCAGAAUGCCACGGUGAAUACGUUCCCGGGCCUUGUACACACCGCCCGUCACACCAUGGGAGUGGGUUGCAAAAGAAGUAGGUAGCUUAACCUUCGGGAGGGCGCUUACCACUUUGUGAUUCAUGACUGGGGUGAAGUCGUAACAAGGUAACCGUAGGGGAACCUGCGGUUGGAUCACCUCCUUACCUUAAAGAAGC